UUUUACGGAGAGUUUGAUCCUGGCUCAGGACGAACGCUGGCGGCGUGCUUAACACAUGCAAGUCGAGCGGUAAGGCCUUUCGGGGUACACGAGCGGCGAACGGGUGAGUAACACGUGGUGAUCUGCCCUGCACUCUGGGAUAAGCCUGGGAAACUGGGUCUAAUACCGGAUAUGACCAUUCCAUGCAUGUGGGGUGGUGGAAAGAUUUAUCGGUGCAGGAUGGGCCCGCGGCCUAUCAGCUUGUUGGUGGGGUAAUGGCCUACCAAGGCGACGACGGGUAGCCGACCUGAGAGGGUGACCGGCCACACUGGGACUGAGACACGGCCCAGACUCCUA
rnacentral:rRNA from 1 species